rnacentral:misc_RNA from 1 species
GUUUUUAUAGAUUUUUUAGGUCUAUGUUACAAUAUUUUAUACUGAAUUCUUUUGGUAAAUAAUAAUAGGAUACCAAGCUUAAAAAGAAAGCUUGAUCAAGACUCGGUUAACAUCCUACCAACCUAUCCUUAUAGUCGGUAAGCAUCCCUCAAACAUCUCGUAAUAAUACAGUUCACAGUAAAAUAGAAUAUUACUGAAGUUCCCAAUGAAGGAAAAAUCAGAAUAUCAAAUUAUUUAAUGAUCCUUCCGCAGGUUCACCUACGGAAA